rnacentral:rRNA from 1 species
UACAGAGGGUGCGAGCGUUAAUCGGAAUUACUGGGCGUAAAGCGUGCGUAGACGGUUAUGUAAGUCAGGUGUGAAAGCCCCGGGCUCAACCUGGGAAUUGCAUUUGAGACUGCAUAGCUAGGGUGCGGAAGAGGGAAGCGGAAUUUCCGGUGUAGCGGUGAAAUGCGUAGAUAUCGGAAGGACACCAGUGGCGAAAGCGGCUUCCUGGUCCAGCACCGACGUUCAGGCACGAAAGCGUGGGGAGCAAACAGG